AAAAAACUGAACAGAUUUAAAAUUGCUCUCAAUUUCGCAAAACAGCUAUUUGUAUCUGUUUUUUUUUAUAUAUAUAGCUUCUUUGGGUACUUAUAAUGUAAAAUAAUGGAAAAAAAUUUCUCGAACUCAAAUUUUGUGAACCAGGGGGGGGGGUGUCUUUUCCAACAAAUUAAAAAUGGCUCGCGCACAAAAUUUAAAAGCUGCAAUCAUAUUUUGAGUUAACAGA